rnacentral:misc_RNA from 1 species
ACUAUAAGGAGUAUCCUAAUCCUGUUGCUCCCCACGCUUUCGUGCAUGAGCGUCAGUGUUAUCCCGGAGGCUGCCUUACUUCAUCAGUGUUCCUCCGCUCUGCAUGAUUCGCACCGCGGAAUUCCACUCCUCUGACACUCAGCUCGGUAAGUUAAAAAUGCAGUUCCAAAGUUAAGCUCUGGGAUUUCACAUCUUCCUUUCCGAACCGCCUGCGCACACUUUACGCCCAGUAAUUCCGAUUAACGCACCUACGUAUUACCGCGGCUGCUGGCACGUAGUUAACCAGUGCUUAAUGCAGGUACCGUCAGUUGCGCAGUGUGUGUCGUGCCGUUUCUCCUGCAAAAGUGCUUUACAACCCAGGCCUUCAUCGCACACGCGGAUGGCUGGAUCAGGGUUUCCCCAUUGUCCAAAAUUCCCCCCCACUGCUGCGCCCCGUG